rnacentral:ncRNA from 2 species
UGAAAUGUUAAAAAUGUGAGCCUAUGAAGUCAUUUGAGUUUUUAAAAUGUGGAGUUUAAAAGUAGGCCAGCUAUUCUCUUUGUAUCUAGAGGAGAGUUGAUCUCAUUUUCUCUUUAUUUUUAGAGUCUUUUAUUCAAAACUUCAGCGUUCUCUAUAGUCCCUUGAAAAGGCAUCUCAUUGGAAGUGGCUCUGCCCAGUUCCCGUCUCAGCAUUUAAUCACUGAAGUGACAACUGAUACCUUUUGGGAAGUAGUCCUUCAAAAACAGGACGUUCUCCUGCUCUAUUACGCUCCGUGGUGCGGCUUCUGUCCAUCCCUCAAUCACAUCUUCAUCCAGCUAGCUCGGAACCUGCCCAUGGACACAUUCACUGUGGCAAGGAUUGACGUGU